AUUGAACGCUGGCGGUAGGCCUAACACAUGCAAGUCGAACGGCAGCACAGUAAGAGCUUGCUCUUACGGGUGGCGAGUGGCGGACGGGUGAGGAAUACAUCGGAAUCUACUUUUUCGUGGGUGAUAACGUAGGGAAACUUACGCUAAUACCGCAUACGACCUACGGGUGAAAGCAGGGGAUCUUCGGACCUUGCGCGAUUGAAUGAGCCGAUGUCGGAUUAGCUAGUUGGCGGGGUAAAGGCCCACCAAGGCGACGAUCCGUAGCUGGUCUGAGAGGAUGAUCAGCCACACUGGAACUGAGACACGGUCCAGACUCCUACGGGAGGCAGCAGUGGGGAAUAUUGGACAAUGGGCGCAAGCCUGAUCCAGCCAUACCGCGUGGGUGAAGAAGGCCUUCGGGUUGUAAAGCCCUUUUGUUGGGAAAGAAAAGCAGCAGGUUAAUACCCCGCUGUUCUGACGGUACCCAAAGAAUAAGCACCGGCUAACUUCGUG
rnacentral:rRNA from 1 species